rnacentral:rRNA from 1 species
GACGAACGCUGGCGGCGUGCCUAAUACAUGCAAGUUGAGCGCUGAAGGUUGGUACUUGUACCAACUGGAUGAGCAGCGAACGGGUGAGUAACGCGUGGGGAAUCUGCCUUUGAGCGGGGGACAACAUUUGGAAACGAAUGCUAAUACCGCAUAAAAACUUUAAACACAAGUUUUAAGUUUGAAAGAUGCAAUUGCAUCACUCAAAGAUGAUCCCGCGUUGUAUUAGCUAGUUGGUGAGGUAAAGGCUCACCAAGGCGAUGAUACAUAGCCGACCUGAGAGGGUGAUCCGCCACAUUGGGACUGAGACACGGCCCAAACUCCUACGGGAGGCAGCAGUAGGGAAUCUUCGGCAAUGGACGAAAGUCUGACCGAGCAACGCCGCGUGAGUGAAGAAGGUUUUCGGAUCGUAAAACUCUGUUGGUAGAGAAGAACGUUGGUGAGAGUGGAAAGCUCAUCAAGUGACGGUAACUACCCAGAAAGGGACGGCUAACUACGUG